rnacentral:lncRNA from 1 species
CUAGCCUCAGGCCUGCCCAGACGGUGUUCAGGUGAGUCUCCCCAAAGGGGUGGCAUUCGGUCUGAGGAGGGUGUGUUUCCAUGCCACUGCCAUGUGACGGUGUGUGUGUGUGUGUGUAUGUGUGUGUGUCUCCCAUUCUCUCCUCUCUCGCUGUCUCUCACUCUGUUUCUUUCCCUCUCUCUGUCGGUUUGUGUGUGUGUGUGUGUGUUUGUGUGUGCAUGCUCUGGUGUGUGUGUGUGUUUGGACGUAUGUGCCUGUGAGCCAGAAAGUGAUUUCUUGCAUGUCGGCUGGUCUUUGGUGAGCCUCUUUCUGCAUCUCUGCCUGGUUCAUGUGGCCAGCUGUCAGUCAUUUUCCUGGCCGUUCCACUUUGGGUUUGUGAAGGCCUCGAUCACGUGAGGAGACGCGUCGGUCCCGGAGCAAUUGAACUAUCAUCCCCAUCCUGAGUGGCCUAAGGGCCCCAGAGCUUUUACAAGUGGGACAGGCGACUGCUCUUUCAAAGGAGGAGGGAGGCAGAGGGCUCAUGGGUUAGUGAUUUUUCUGCUGACACCACACCUUGAGGCCCAUGUGAUCAUUGUGCCCUGCAAGGAGGCCCUUCUUUUCUCAGCAGAUGUGGUGAGCCCAUCCGUCUUCACCCGGAGGGGUCCAAAAUCGGAUCUUAAGAGGGGUCUUCAGAUGCCAGCAGGUGCCCUGAAGCUCUCCCUCCACCGGUGGAAGUCAGCUUAAGGAAGUCUUUGAGACAGGACUCCUCGGGAUUUGGCCCUGGGACCCCCGUGG